UGUAAUUUGAAGAGAUUUGGGUCCGGCCGGCAGGGGUUAAGUCCACUGGAAAGUGGCGCCACAGAGGGUGACAGCCCCGUGAACCCCUUCAACGCCCUCAUCCCAGAUCUCCAAGAGUCGAGUUGUUUGGGAAUGCAGCUCUAAGUGGGUGGUAAAUUCCAUCUAAAGCUAAAUACCGGCGAGAGACCGAUAGCGAACAAGUACAGUGAUGGAAAGAUGAAAAGCACUUUGAAAAGAGAGUGAAAAAGUACGUGAAAUUGUUGAAAGGGAAGGGCUUGCAAGCAGACACUUAACUGGGCCAGCAUCGGGGCGGCGGGGAGCAAAACCACCG
rnacentral:rRNA from 1 species